GUCCAUAUCGAUUAGUGGUUAAAUCACCUCGUUGUGGACCUAUCUGGACUUCCGAGGAGCCGCCUGUUCGAUCCAGGCUAUGGACA